UUCACAUUGUAAUUAAUUUGA
rnacentral:siRNA from 1 species